ensembl:snoRNA U3 Small nucleolar RNA U3
AAGAUCAUACUUUCAGGGAUCAUUUCUAUAGUCUUUGACUUGAGAAAUAUAAAUGCGAAAGUGAUCGGUUACUCUAACCACGAUGAAGAGAACUGAUGUUUCCCUUCUGAGCGCGAAGCAGGCAGUGAGUGAUGAUGCAAUUCAUCCGAUCCUUGCUAUUGAUGACCGUUCCAUGCUCUCUAGUGGAGCCUGGAGGUAGGGAUCAUGAUCAGAGUGGU